GUGUACGUAAUUUAAAAAAAAUAUCAAGUUGUGACCUGAAAAUAGACAACCUCAUACACC
rnacentral:tRNA from 1 species